AACGAACGCUGGCGGCACGUUUUAAGCAUGCAAGUCGAAUGGCAGUGGGGGCAACCCCAUGAGAAUGGCGAACGGGUGAGUAACACGUAGGUGAUCUGCCUGACGGAUGGGGAUAGCUUGUGGAAACACAGGGUAAUACCGAAUGAGCUGACGAGACUUUGGUUUUGUUAGUAAAGGUGCUACGGCACCGCCGACAGAGGAGCCUGCGGCUGAUUAGCUAGUUGGUGGGGUAAAGGCCUACCAAGGCGACGAUCAGUAGCCGGCCUGAGAGGGUGUACGGCCACACUGAAACUGAGACACGGUCCAGACUCCUACGGGAGGCAGCAGCUAAGAAUCUUCCGCAAUGGGCGAAAGCCUGAUGGAGCGAUGCCGCGUGAUCGAUGAAGGUCGAGAGAUUGUAAAGAUCUUUUCUACAUGAGGAAUAAGUCUGGGAGGGAAUGCCUGGAUGAUGACGUUAGUGUAGGAAUAAGCCCCGGCUAAUUACGUGCCAGCCGCCGCAGUAA
rnacentral:rRNA from 1 species